rnacentral:ncRNA from 1 species
GUAAAAGUGAAGAAGAGGAUUAGUACAGAUUGGAACAUGUACAGAGAGGGAAUCGGUUGGUGGAAGAUUCCUCAUGAGAACAUCUAGAACCUACCUUGGAGCUGCAUAUGAAAGUAUGCCGUAUCUCUGCGAUAAAGAGAAUGAGAGAAGUAAUGCUUUGCAUCACUUAAUCAGGGUGGUACCGCCGGAAUUCCGGUCCCUAGU